rnacentral:lncRNA from 1 species
AAAGUGAUGGAGGGGAAUUGAUGGACAAAAGAGAGCUUAUUUGCAUUGUUUAUUGCAACUCUGACAUACUCUGCAUUCUUUUUUGCCAUUUCAACUCUGCGGAGCUUUGUUUCUUAACUUGACAUGCCACAAUCUUUCAGCUUGCCAACCAUUACAGUGUUAUCAUAUUAGGAUCUUCUCAAUGAUUUGGGUUACAAUAAUAACAGGUGUAAUGGUUCUUUUUCUCUGGACACAGCGAGAUGCCACCACCAUCACCAACAAUUCCAUGGUUUCAAGAUCUGUUCGAGACAAGGCUCACUCACAGCUCCACUUCCAUGACUUGCUCAGUCUUCAGCUUGAUCUCUCCUCCGCAGCUGGAACCAAGAGGUGGUGAAUCAAAUCCACAUUGUGCUCGCAAUACCUGGUCAAAAUAUGCAGGAUUAAUCAAGAUGAUAAGAUUGCAUAAAUAUAUGACAAAGAAAUUGGAUCUGUCACUGGCCACUAUGGAUUGUUUAAGAGCUACAUAACAGUGUUGGGUGGUGCACAGUGCAUAAACUAUGAGUGAUAGAUAAAGAUGAUGAAUGAUAAGACAUAGGACUUCGUGGGAAGAAGUCUUAAAUUGGCAUAAAAUAAAUAAAGUCGGUUGUUUUAUGGUCAAAGAUUCGACAGAUAUAAGAAAAAUACUUAUCAUGAGAACAUAUUAUUAUUCAACAGUGAGAUCUUUGAGGAUAUUGUGAUGAAGACAUAACAACAGUUAUUUAGUGUUUACACAAUGUACCAACAGGGGUAUGUUUUCAAUGGUAGAAUUAAAUUUCAUCAAACACAGAAUGCAAUAUUGUUUGCAACAAUAAUUUAUCAAACUGUGGGAUGCUAUGUGGAAGUGCCAACCCUAAAAUAUUUAUGGGCAUGGCCAUAAAUUUUGAUUGCUUAAAAAUCAACUAUUACUAAUUUCAAACAACUGCUAAUAUUUAAUUGAUUUAGAGGUUAGGAAUUGCUAUCAUGUUUGAUGUUGAUAUUUCUUGUUGUCUUGAACACUCAAAAAGCAUAUCAAUCACACAAGAAAUAGAGAAAGAAACAUCAAUACACCUCAUACCUACAGAAUAUCCAUCCAUUCUAGCUUCUCAAAGUUAAGCCAUUUAGGUAGGUUUUGCAAGAUCAUCUCAAUGAGCUCUAGGAAUAGAUUCUUCUGUCACAUAAUUUGAUCCUACCACCGCAUGUGAGGCUCUGAUCCCUAGCAUAUUAUAAUCAAAUUCAUCGUGAUUAUAUAUCGCAUUUCGGGAACCGAGCUUGCUUAGAGCCACCAAUAAAUUAAUCAAAUUUUCCUUAUACUCUUCUUCAUCAUUGAUAUAAACACUACAAUAGAUAUAAAAAAACACUAAUUGAUUACAUGGGUCCAAACAAGAAGGCUUCUUUGGCUUUUGAUUUCACCUAGCAUUUUUACUCCUCAAAUGUAAUGGUCUGUCAAUGGAAAAAAGAUGACUGACUCAAAGCAUAAAGCCAAUGGAGCUCAACCUUACUCACGUAGGGAAAAGGGCAGUAGAUUCCUUAGAUGCCUCACUGGGGAUUAGAGUAUGUGAGACUUUGUCAUCACCCAAUGGGCAUCUCCCAUGUGUCCCAAUCCUUUUAUAUGAUUUGGGGCCCUACAUGUCAAAAGCUUGGGAAGGUUGUGUGUAGGGUACAUAUUUAAUGUGGCCAACCCCCCCAGCAUGACUGUAAAAGAAGAGACUAGUGUGCAUGGGAUUAGUUGGCAUGGCACUCCUUUUGGGAAAAGCUCAAACAAAGGAGCAAACAUGGACAGGGUGGGGAUUCCAGAUCUGUCAGGGUUUGGUCCACCCUAAGUUUUCCACCAAGGACCCCACCAUAGAUAUAGGAACAAUUUGUGAUACCCCAUUUCAUCAAUUCAUUCCCCAGUCCAAGUACAUUGCAAAAAGUCUCACCUUGCAUGAAUGAUUAAUGUUAUGCAAUCUUAUUUCUAUAAAGAGAGAUUAUUUUGGUGACUUGAAUCCUAAUUAUUUAGAGGCAUGUGAUUAUCGAGAAGUUGACAUCACUUGUGAAUCAUUCCUUAUAAAUUUUUUUUUCUAACCCUAAGCAUAAAUUAUAUAGCACACACUACUAGUUAGUUUAAUCAUAGGAUUAAAAUAGUCAUACCCAAGUCCAAGUCCAAGCCAUGACAUAAUGUUUGAGGUUUCAAUACCCAUUCCUUAUAUGAUAAUGCCAUUAGUGACUAAAUAAUUAUAUUACUACAUCAAUCAACCACAAGGACUCCAUAAUAUGAACCCAAAUGUUAUAAAUGGAAUUAAGAAUGCUCAUAAUUUACACAUAAUGGAUCAGCUCAAGAAUUAAAUGCAGAAGGAACAAGAAAAAGAGAAACAGGAAUGUGAAAGAAAAACUCAAUUAGGCACAUCAAACUUCACAUAAGAGAAAGUGCUCGUCACUAUGGGCAAAAAUGAAAAUAGAUGCACAAGAUGUUAAGCAAGGUUUCGAACCCUCGAUCUACAGAUGCACAUGUUAAACAAGAUUUCGAACCCUCGAUCUAGAGAUGCACAAAAUGUUAAACAAGGUUUCGAACCCUCGAUCUAGAGAUGCACAAGAUGUUAAGCAAGGAUUCAAACCCUUGAUCUAAAAGAAUGAGACCUGAAUAUACAUCAUCAAACUAACUGGUUGAUUGUUCCUAUAAUGUGUUGAAUGAGAGAAGAUGUGGUUGGGAUUGGGUGAUAAAUGCAUUUCCUCCAAUGAACACAACAUCAUGAUGCCAUGGGAUUCAGCAGGUGCUCCCUUCCCUUACAAACAUCUCUUGUAACAUUUACCUCAGGACCAUUUCUAGACCUCAUCCUAUUCCCACAAAGGUUUUGUUACCUUCCCUAACAUGAUAUGAUCCCAUCUACCUUGUAUUGGACCUACCCUAUUCCCCUUGAUCUACAAGAACCCUUAUAAUUGUAGUUCCUUCUUUCCUGGUAAGGUUGAAAGAGACUUUUAAAGCCAUUACCAAGAGUACCAUGAAUGCACCCACUAUCUAUGUGAAAGUCCCUUCACAAAUAUCUAUUACUAGGUGGGAAAAAAGGAUAAGGUUGUAAAGUUAUGAUAAAAGAAUUAACAUUGAGAAGGGCCGGACAGAGAAUUAGAAGUCCAGAUAUAAUGACCAAUGGAAAAUGGAGUUAAUGAACAUGCCAUUAAUUUAUCAUGGUGAAGAAAGAAAGCAUGGGUAAGAUAGUGGCAGUACAUCUCAACUGCAUUUGAAGACCUAACAAUGCCAUGUGACAACUAUUUAAAAUCUAAGAGUUUGGUUGUAAGAGUAGGUGGAUAGAGUGACAACAAUAGUGAUGAUCUUUUGGGGUCAUCAGUAUCCUCUCUAUUGCAAUAUGAAUCCAUUUCAAGAUCCCUCAGUGUAUUUGACUUCAAUAAUGGAAAGAAGUAAAGACAGAUCUUGACUCAAAAUAUUUUUGCCAGAAACUGGAUUUUACUAGUAAUUUUGAGCGGUUCUCUCUCAAGUUUUUGAUACAGAAGGACAAGAAAGUAUUAGAGCUAUCUUAGACUCCAAUUCAUGGAUCGCCUCUUUCAGGCAUUUCCUUAGAUAGAAAACUGCCUUGAAGAAAGUAAAUAACAAAACCUAAUCAAUGUACAUUUUGCACACCUACAUCCAAUAGGAAACAUGCUAUGGGUAGGGUGGUUAGAAAAAUAAAGGUUCUUUGGUGAUAAUCUAUGAACCAUAUCAAAAUAAUAUAGAAAUGGUUACAAACAAUAUGAACAAGAAAUUAUAUUAUAUCUUGUAGCUAACCUUGACCUUGAGCCUUUGAGAAAUAAUCCAACCUACUUGAAUUAUAUCCAUGCAACAACAGUUGUUGCAUGCUUGAUCUUCUCUCUCCUUACUCUUGUUUACAUUUGUUCAAUAGAGAUGAGAACAAACAAACUAGUAGUCUAAAAGUAGAGUGAGGAAGGGGGGCCACCAACCAUUUUAUGUUACCCAGGAUGAUUCCCACUUAUCAAAGAGUCAUAACAAUUAAUUCUAGCUAUCAAAAAGUCUGAAUGUUUCUUUUUAUUUUUCCAAGAUGACUCGAAUACAAGAAAGAUAUAUGCAUUGUAUUUUUGGAGAAAAUAAGCUUGAGUCACAUUAAUUUCAGAGUUAUGAGAAGAUAAAUAAUUUCUCUCACCUACAUUUUGCAUAUGUUACAACUCCAAAAGUCUAAUCUUCAUCGAAGUCAAAUUUAAGAAAGCAUGUGUGUGAUUGUGAAGGAGACAUUUGAGAAAAUAUUUUUACAAGGAUAACACACCUAGUACCUUGUAACUUCCUUUCUAUAUUUAUCAAGAUCACAUUACCUUUAAUGCUAUUAAACAAUUUCCAUCCAAUAAAUCACCUUAUCAAUGGAUAGGCAGACGUGUUUAAAGGAUCCUUUGCUUCUUAAACCACACCAUUUCCUUUACGAUUGUCAGUCAUACUGGAUGAGUGUUGUAGCACAAAUCAACCUGAUGGAAUUUCAUGGCCACGAAACUGAGAAUCCUUAUCAUAGGAUGCUUCUUUUACCAAAUGCUUUUGCUUUCAACAAUACAUAUACCUGCCAAAGGAAAGAGCAAGUGAGUCCUUCAUAAGCACACAGAAAGAGACACAGUAGUACUCAACAAAGGAUGAUAGCAAUAAAAAGGCCAGUAGAAGAGUCAAACAACAAGUUAAACUUUGUACAAGGAGUUAAACAACAAGCACCACAGUUAACUCUUCCACAAUCAACUUGAAAAGAUUAAGUUCCUUAACAUAUGUGGAAUCACGAUUAAAAGAUUUAGUUCACUACUCAAGCAAGAGACACAGAUUUAAGAUCAAGAAAAGAAAAAAAGGAUCAUGCUGAGACUUCGAUGAAUGUUCAAACAAAUCAGCUUCCCCUUCAUUGGUUCAAACUAAGAUGAUCAGUCCCGAUAUGGUAGCGACCGAAGGUCGAACUGAGGGAGCUUCAGGACCAACAAAUAGAAAGCCUGUGAAUCCAAAGAAUAUCCCCUGGUAGCAAUUCGAACAAAUUUGAUGGAUAAAGCACAAGGAAACCCAUCAUUCCAUCACCAAAUCACGACAUAUCAAGCAUAAAAAUUUUCUAAUCGUCUACCAUUAAUCGACAAAGUUAACGCUCAAUACAAACUCGUCGAAUCCGUUCCAAGUACACCACGAACUUCUCUUUCCUUAUCGACUCCCCUCACAAAAUCACAUUUUUGGCCCCGAAAUCGUCGUGUGAAUCAGCAAUGA